AUCGAAUUCUAUUAAACAAUCGAAUCGUCGUCCAGAAGCAAUGCGAAUCCUUCGAGUUUUCGAUGUUAGAUCGCAUCAUUUAAUGUUAAUAUUUUAUCACCGCAUACCCAGAAAUUCUAUUAAACAAUCGAAUUUCUGAUAAAAAGAAAAAAAAUCGUAUUAUUUGAGCACUUAAUAAAAUUGAAAUCUCCAAUAUUGCCAAGUGAAAAUUUGGUAGAUAGGAAAACUGAACAGAAUGUUGGAAUUUAUUCCAACAUCCUGUUCAGUUGUUCAUCCUGUUUAGGACUCAACAUCCUGUUCAGUUGUUCAUCCUGUUUAGGACUCAACAUCCUGUUCAGUCCUGUUCCAACAUCCUGUUCAGUACUGAACAAGAUGUUGGAAGAGUGAGGCACAAAAAAUUUUUAACUGAGUGUCAGUUAAAAAUUUUUUGCGGCUCACUGUUUAGGUGCAAAAAACUUUUUGUUAUAGCGUUUAUUACAUAUAUAGACGGAGUUUCUACGGAAAGAAUUUAGUCCACUUCUUCCGAAUAUUAAGCGCAGUAUUUGUAGUUAGCGAAUACUGCGCUUAAUAUAGUAAUUUAGAGUUUCUGAUGCGAUUUUUUUAAAAACUCUUAAAAAACGCAAAAUUACGUGGCAGUAACGUUGAAACUUUGAGAAUCUAUAGCACUGAUGAUCUAUUAAAAAAUCUUUUAAAUAAAGAACUGCUUCUAGUAGAUUCGUAUAACUCUCCAUAGCAAUUAUGUUAUUGUUACUUUUAUUUUUUUUUUUUUAAUUUAUUUUGACAUAAAAUAAUGACAAACUCCGUUCAGUUCGGUCAUUAGAAGUCUUACUAAGAAUCGGUAUCCAUAAAUCGAAUUUCAUCCCAUUGUGACAUCGAGUAACCACUGCUCUGGAAAAUCCCAUUACUAUGAAAUAUACCUGUCAUUUAAUUUUCCACAGACACGCACCGUUGUUACUCUGUAUCUUAUGCUCUAACUGGACUUCCUGGCAUUUACUGUUUGGGGGUCCGUAAACAUCCAAAACAAGUCUUCAUACGUUGUAACGGACGAAAAAUCGUUUAAAAUUUUCCGACCAAUAAAAUCUCUCCAGAGAAAUCGUAUUAUGAACAAUAAUUAAUUACCGAAUUGUUCGUAACUAGAAUGCAUUUCUGUAGACAGUAACUCCCUUAUGAUUUAUUAUUACGUCUCGUGGGGGAAAUUAUCAUCAUCUUUUUUUAUUUUCCUCGGUUAAAUCGGAUUAAACGAAUUUUCCGUUUUUAAGCAAGAAAUAUUUUCCUGUGCAACUAAGAGAUCGUUAUCGGUUUGUUAUCCUUUUUUUUCAGACGUAUUCCUGAGAGAUAUCGUUAUGCUUUAAAAACUCGAUCUUAUACAAUAAAAAAGAAAAGUUUAUAUUCGGAAAAAGAUUUAUUAUAUUCACGAAUUUUUGCUGUUUUUUUAUUUAUUUUACAGUUAUUUAUGCGAUAAAUUAUCUCAAAAAAAGUACUUUGCCGUUAUUAAAAUAAAGCCGUAAAUUAAACAAGUGACAAAAAAAUUUUUGACAGUGGAAAAAAAACGUGACUCAUUCUUUCUUCGUGAAUGAUAGACCUAUUUAUUUUAUGUUAUCACAAUAACGUCUCGAAUUUUGAAUGGGUAAUGCGAUAAUUAUGAUAUAUGAAACGUUAAUAACGAGAACGUGGCGCCUGCGAAAAUUAAUGGUCAUGAAGAAGUAUUUUUCUCUGAUUAUUUUUCAUAAAAAAUAUAAUAAGUAAUAAAAUUUAAAAAUUGUAUUACGUAUUAAAUAGCAUUAUUUAUUGCUCGUCGCAGAAGUAUCAAUAUUUAUGCAAAUUUUUCGAAGAAACUCUCAGUAUGGGAAGAACGUCCAGAAAAUUCAUUCACAAUCUUAGUUAACUCUUCGAUAAUCAAAGCAAAUUUUCCUAGCGAAUUUAAGCAAUAUGUGUAAGAGAUAACUUUACUAUAAAUUAAUCUCGUUAGGUCAUAAAAUAGAGCUGCGCUCAACUCAUCUAGAUAAUUCAUGAAGGUUGCAGUAUAUCAUUGCUCUAUUCCCAUUAGACGUAUUAGUUUCAAAUAGUUUACAUCAUGAUGUAUCGUGUAAAGAAUGUCUUUCCCCCCGGAUACAUUUGGCAGAAAUUAAUUUGCCACCAUUUACAUUGCUCACCAGAUCCAGCGAAUUGUAAAUUAGAAGAAUUUCCAUCUUUUCCGCGAUGUUUUCGAAUGGAUCACAAUUAUUUUCUCAUCGAUAAUGUAAGCAUCGAAUUUUGGUUAUUCAAAACUUAUUUUUACAUUUUGGUAAUCAAUCUACAGCAUAACCGGUAUAUGCAUAUCAUAAUUUUUUUCAUGAGCGGUGAUGGAUAGGUGAAUUGAAACGUUACAAUAUUUCGUGUGUGAUUGGAGAGGCGUUGUCAGGAAUGCGAUCUGGAAAACGUUGUUUGUAGGUACUAAAUUCAGUUUUCGCAGAUAGUAGUAUUCAUUCAACUACUGAUCUUCCAUGCAGUUCGAUAUAUACAGCAUACAGUCAAGCUCCAUAAAAUAUAUCAGUCAUUCUCGGUUUUCUGGAUGAAUUCUUGUUCGUACAAAUAUCUAAAACGUUUGACGUUAUUACGUAUUGACUAUAGUUAUGUUAUGAUAAGAAUAAUUUAUAUACUCGGCUUAGAAUACUAUUACAAGAGUAAAGUCAAUGCUAUGCUUGUUUAGCUUCCUGUUACUACCAGCUAACAUGACAAAUCUUGCUGAUUUUGCAUAAGUAAUUAAAAAUUAAUGUAAUUCUUAAUAUAAAUCAGCUAAAUAAACAAUUUUAUGAAUUUUAUAUAUUUAAUUUCGUCCAAAAAUCCUUAGAAUGUUAUAAAUUUUAAGUAUGUCAAAUAUUGAUCGAUUGGAGAUGGAUUUACAAAUUUUGCGUGUUCUUGCUAAGAAAAAUAGUUAAGCACUAUUUUAUUUCGCAAUUUUUUCCUCUUUGUAACAAGUUAAUGCCAAAUUUUAUUUUUAUUUCGCACUGUUUAUUGAUCCUGUAUUAUAAAUGCAAACGUGAUCAAAAAUUGUAUGCAAUAUGGAACCUGGCAUAUCUCGUAGUAUGAAGUUAUCUAUACUGAAAGCUAUUCAUAUAUCGCGGGACUGUACUACUGUUCGUUGAAAAUAUCAAGUUUGCAAAGCUGUAUGACAGAUGAAUACUUCCUUAUACAAACUUGCAAGAAUUAAAAUUAUUUGAGAUUUGAUCCAAUUUGUUGAUUUAUAAAUCUCGAGAAAUUCCACUCCACUUGCUCUUUGUAUUCACUUCAGAUUUAUAUCGGAAAAGGCUGUUUAAUGUCAUCUGUUCCUUAGUCGUGCCAGAAUAUCGAUUUGGUACGAAACGUACUUUCGUACACUUAAAGCUUUGUGCCCGAAUUUCGCGAUGCUGUAGAAAAUUUUGGCUCGAUUGAUAUAUCUGCAUUCAUCAUAAUGUCAUAACAACCUUUCAUGUUAGCAACUCAUUUAAUGUAUAUUUUUCAGAAACGUUUUGUAGUAGCAAUUGUGCUUCCUAAUAUUUAGACAUUUCGUUCAGUUUAAAUAGAUCUUUCAAAUUUAAAUUUAAAAUAAUAAUAAAAC
rnacentral:lncRNA from 1 species